CGCCCCGAGCCGCGGGAGCAGCGGCGGCAGCGGCGCAGCAGCGGCAGCGGCGGCAGCAGGAGAACCGGGGGAAUCGCGCUGCUGGGGUAAAAGCUGGAGCGAGGCGAAAGCGUGUAACAAUUGCACACGCACACACACACCACUCACACGCACUCGCCGCCCGCCCGCUCGCACAGCGCUGGAACACGCGCGCCCAGACACGCACACACGCACGCACACACACACUCGCACACACGCAGAGGCACGGGGGGGAAAAGCCGAUGAAUAAUUUUGCUGCUAUUUUCUUAAAUACUGGCCGCCAUCAUCAAGCAGCGAGCAGCAGCAGCGUUGAAGGGAGAGGAGGCAUCGGGACAGGCCCCUCUUAGGAGAGGAUUUAUAUCUAGGGCUGAUAUCUCUUGCUACAUAGUGAAGCAUUUUGGAGAACUAAAAUUUUUUUCUCAGACCUAAGAGGCCAAUGUGAAUACCAAAAUGAUAUAGAGGACCCAGAAGAAUGACUCUUGAAAUCAUAGUAGUUUACGUGAACUCAUAUUUAAAUAGAUUCUUGGGAGAGCAAGAGAGAGUGUGAGUAGGGGAAGGAGCAGAGGGUAAGGGAAAGAGAAUCUCAA